UUGAAAAGACGAUGACACAUGGAGAGACGCAGAAAGGAAUGGAGACACCUGGAGGAGUUCUCUUCCUGGAUUCCAGUUGCUUCUGCAUCACGUGUCCUUGCUCUUUCUUUGUCUGCUUCUCCUUAUUGGGCCUUGAGAAAACUCAGCUGGAACCAGCCUGGUUCCAGGAACACCUUGUCCUAAGUAAUCAUCUGACCAGGCUUAAAAAUACAAAGUGGGUUCUACAUUGUAAGUUACCUUGCAGUGGCAGAAAUGUAUGAUCUUCAUACAAGGCAAAUGGAAG
rnacentral:lncRNA from 1 species